UCCAGGCAGGGCCUUGAGGAAGCAGGUGAGCUUCUCCAUCCCUGUCUGUCUAGAUACAGAGAACCCCAAAGCCCUGCAGGAUGGCAAAGCUGCAACAUGGAAGUCACCCAGAUCACCACGUAAAGGAAAUCUGCUCUCCAACCAGGAACAAACACCUGCCUUGCAAUAUUAGAGAUGGGGUUUCGCCACGUUGCCCAGGCUGGUCUCGAACUCCUAAGCUCAAGCAGUCCACUGCCUCAGCCUUCCAAAGUGCUGGAAUUACAAGCGUGAGUCACUGUGCCCACCCCCUGCAGGACUUUCUUCAGGACGUGGAAGAAAGCUUUCCUUCUCUGAAAAACCCCCUCAGCCUACAUAAAGCAGAAGAUUAUGAAUAAAUGUUAAGGGCAAGUUUCUGGAACCAGACAGCCUGUAUUUGAAUCCUGUGCCUAAAACUUACUAGCUGUGUGAUCUUGGAAAAGCUACCUCACCUCUCUGGGCCUUAGUGGAUGUAAGAUACCAUUAGUAAUAGUACCUACCUCAUAGCCUUGUAAGGUGCACAUAGUUAGGCUACUUGACUGUUAAAUAACAUUCUUGAGGUGAAGGGCCAAGCUUGAUUCAGGGAAAGUGUAAACUAUGAUAUGA